rnacentral:lncRNA from 1 species
GGGGCCCGGCGCCGGCGCGUGCGUCACGGGAGGCAAAGUUCCAAGAAACUUGGCUGAGGGCUCGGAGUCCCGCGGGGGCGGGGCGGGAAUGCCGCGGGGCGGGGGCCGGCGACACGGGGGUCCCGGGGGAGUAGGGAUCGGGGCUUCCGGGAGCAGGAGAUCCCAGGGAUAUAGGGUCCCAAAGGUUACGUGUCCAGGCACCUGUCAGAUUUGGGCUACAGAAGAGCGAGGAGAUGGCCAUGGCUUGGGGUGAGCCCAGCACUGCCCAUAGCCCUGCAGCCGGGGCUCCCCUUGGGCACCUGGAGUCCAUUGGCCCUAAAAUGCAUGUGUACAGCCCCCCCUGUGAAGCUGCUCGGAGAGGCAGGAAGGGAGACCACAUCAUGCUACCAACUGUCCUGAUGACUCCCAUGAGUAUGAAGCUGGCAAGGAACAGCCAUCCCC